rnacentral:rRNA from 1 species
AUUGAACGCUGGCGGAAUGCUUUACACAUGCAAGUCGAACGGUAGAGGGGGCAACCCAUCGAGAGUGGCGAACGGGUGAGUAAUAUAUCGGAACGUGCCCAGUCGUGGGGGAUAACGUAGCGAAAGUUACGCUAAUACCGCAUACGAUCUAAGGAUGAAAGCGGGGGAUCGCAAGACCUCGCGCGAUUGGAGCGGCCGAUAGCAGAUUAGGUAGUUGGUGGGGUAAAGGCUCACCAAGCCAACGAUCUGUAGCUGGUCUGAGAGGACGACCAGCCACACUGGAACUGAGAGACAGUCCAGACUCCUACGGGAGGCAGCAGUGGGGAAUUUUGGACAAUGGACGCAAGUCUGAUCCAGCCAUUCCGCGUGCAGGAUGAAGGCCCUCGGGUUGUAAACUGCUUUUGUACGGAACGAAAAGGUCUCUCUUAAUACGGGGGACUCAUGACGGUACCGUAAGAAUAAGCACCGGCUAACUACGUGCCAGCAGCCGCUGUAA